rnacentral:lncRNA from 1 species
UUGGCUAGGGUUUGAUUUAGGAUUUGAUUAGGGUUUGAUUUAGGGUUAGAGUUUGGUUAGGAUUUGAUUUAGGAUUAGGAUUUGAUUAAGAUUUGGUUAAGGAUUUAGGAUUUGAUUUAGGAUUUAAGGUUUGGUUAGGAUUUGAUUUAGAGUUUAGGAUUUAAUUAGGAUUUGAUUUAGGGUUUGAUUAGGAUUUGGUUAGAAUUUAGGAUUUUAUUAGGAUUUUUUUAGGAUUUAAGAUUUAGUUAAUUUUUGGCCUAAAAUUUGAAUGAAGUCUAAUAGGAUUUUAACUGAGUUUAAAUUAAAAUUGAAUUGAGAUGUAUUUGACAUAUAUUUGUGAUUAUUCUAAUAUUUCUUUAAUAUUUCUUAUUAUUUCUUUUUAAUUCCUUUGAGGUUUUUUUGAAUUUGAUUAAAGCUUGCUUAGCAUUGUUAUUGUCUAAUUAGAGUUUAGUUAGUAUUCUAUUAG